GCUAACUUCCGGGAUAAACAAGGGCACGAGUUGGAUAACCUUCUUUGAAUGUUGCUUUGCGUCCAUCAGCGGGGUGUGUGGCUGCUUUCCGACGUGUAUGACAGUUGUUAGAAGUCUUUGGCCUCAGAAUCAGUUUGUCACCGUUACAUGACGUCAUGGCGACCUCCGUCCACCUCUCGAGCGUCCGUUCUCUGUACAAGAGGAUUCUGGUUCUGCACCGGUUCCUGCCGCUAGACCUCCGAGCUCUGGGAGACCAGUAUGUGAAAGACGAGUUCAGAAGACAUAAAAAUGUACAACCGGAGGAGGUGAAGAAGUUCAUGACCGAGUGGGAGAUGAAAACGCUGCAGGACCUCUACCCCGACUUCUACCUGGACUUCUGUCUAGACCUCUACCUGGACUUCUACCUGAACUUCUAUCUAGACCUCUACCCGGACCUCUACCUGGACCUGGGAGGCUUCUUUCUGAAAACUACAUAGUAAAAAUGCUUUUCAACAUUUAGUCAGAAAGCAGGAAAACAUCCAGCAGCUUUGGCUGUUUGACAUAAAUAAUACUGAACAGUGGAAAUAAAGAAACUAGGCCACAUAGCUGGAAUUAAAUAUUCUUUCUUCCACACUGACUUCACGCCGAGCCAGUUAUGCUUGAAGAAUAGAAACUAUCAAUCAAACCAAAGUUUGAGAUGUUUUCAGUUUUUAGCAUCCGUGUAAUGAAACGUUCAGUGAACGCUGUUUAACUCCUCACGUUGUCCAACCAGACGUACAGAAUCAGAAAAUAAGAAAUAACAUUUCAUUUCAGUGUUAGGCUAGAGAAACGUUAGCAUCUUUUAACCCAGUCACAGAACAUUUGUGCUGCUGGCUAAGAAACCUUUUGGAUGGAUUUCCUUUUUUAUGUGACGCUUUGCAGGCUGGACGGCAGAUCCAGCUUGUCAGCAGACGACCAUGAUGAGCCAGAGGACAGAGAACGACUGGUUCUCCUGUGGGAGAAAUGACUCGGUAUGCAGACUAGCGUCACAUUGACAAUGAUCAAAUUUUUAUGGCCCAAGGUAACUGGGUCAGAGCCUGUCUGAAAUAAAAAAGGCUUGUGGGGGGUUUCCUGUCAGCAGCAGUGAGGAUCCACUGACAGUGUGUGAGGAUGACCAAACUAAAACAAAGAAAUUAUGUCGUUUUUUUUCCCCACCAGAGCGGCAUGUUAUUUAAAAACAAGUAAACCCACUCAAAUGAAGUAGUAGUAGUAGUAUAGUAGUAGUAGCAUGUUGAUUUAAUGAAUGUCCACUGCAGCUGAAACAGAGCAGUAACACCGUGGAAGCACGUUAUGCAAGUUCUGCUUUAUGCACUGAUCUUCAGAAGUAUAAGUUUGCUUGGGAAGGAAGGAAAUAAAGUCUCAUUUUACAGCUGCCGAUAGGUAUUUGUUAAAGCAGUGGUAAGAAAAACACAGCAGCAGCUAAAUCAUUCAGUUUGCCUGCAGUAAGGAAUAUUUAAUCUCGUCAUGAUAAUCUGGUUUUAAAAUGAAUAUAACCUUAGAUUAACAAAAACAAAAGAUGAAGAGGACAGUAUAAGUCAUUUGUUGUUUUCAGGUAUAUUAAAACGAUGCCAAGGACCUACAGGUACUUCAAAUAAUAAUUUUGUCCUUCAAACUUUGCUUCUGUCAAAGAAUCCUCUAUUUGCAGCAGUUACAGCCCCGCAGACCUUGCAGGGAUUCUCGCUUUCGAUUUGUUGAGGUAAUCUGAGGAAAUUUCCCCCCAUGCUUCCUGAAGGACCUCCCACAAGUUGGAUUGGCUU